AACGAACGCUGGCGGCAUGCCUAACACAUGCAAGUCGAACGACACCUUCGGGUCUAGUGGCUCACGUGUGCGUCACGCCUGGGAACCUGCCCUUAGGUUCGGAAUAACUCCCCGAAAGCGGUGCUAAUACCGGAUAAUGUCUUCGGACCAAAGAUUUAUCGCCCUUGGGUGGGCCCGCGUUGGAUUAGCUAGUUGGUAGGGUAAAUGCCUACCAAGGCGACGAUCCAUAGCUGGUCAGGGAGGAUGAUCAGCCACACUGGGACGGAGACACGGCCCAGACUCUUACGGGCGGGCGCAGUGGGGAAUAUUUGACCAUGGGCGAAAACCUGAACGAGCAAUGCCGCGUGAGAGAUGCAGGCCUUAGGGUUGUAAAGCUCUUUUAGCCGGGAUGAUAAUGACAGUACCGGGAGAAUAAGCUCCGGCUAACUCCGUG
rnacentral:rRNA from 1 species